UACGUAGGCUGCAAGCGUUAUCCGGAAUUAUUGGGCGUAAAGCGUACGCAGGCGGUUUGUUAAGUUGGAUGUGAAAUCCCCGGGCUCAACCUGGGAACUGCAUUCAAAACUGACAAGCUAGAGUAUGGUAGAGGGUGGUGGAAUUUCCUGUGUAGCGGUGAAAUGCGUAGAUAUAGGAAGGAACACCAGUGGCGAAGGCGACCACCUGGACUGAUACUGACACUGAGGUGCGAAAGCGUGGGGAGCAAACAGG
rnacentral:rRNA from 1 species